UUGCAGGAAUAAGCACAGUCGUCCUGGCUGGUAACGGCUUGGAUUAUAAUCGGGUGAAUUGCUGGAAACCUCUAAAACUCACUUCCCUACAACGUAGCUGGAAACGGCAAGCGUGAAUGGUUGAAAAGAAGCGAGAUUGGGCAAUCAGCAGCCAAGCUCCUGUCUCGAAAGAGUGGAGAAGGUUCAACGACUAGGAUAGACCAUCUAAGGCGAAUGCUAUGGUGAUGAAAUCCGUAGGUGAAGCAAUGUACAUCAGCAUUGUGAAUCCGAAGUUCCCGACCCCUACUAAGAAAUUAGAGGGUGAAGAUAUAGUCUAGUCAUUUAUGAAAGUAAAUG
rnacentral:ncRNA from 1 species